rnacentral:rRNA from 1 species
GACGAACGCUGGCGGCGUGCUUAACACAUGCAAGUCGAACGGAAAGGCCCUGCUUUUGUGGGGUGCUCGAGUGGCGAACGGGUGAGUAACACGUGAGUAACCUGCCCUUGACUUUGGGAUAACUUCAGGAAACUGGGGCUAAUACCGGAUAGGAGCUCCUGCUGCAUGGUGGGGGUUGGAUAGUUUCGGCGGUUGGGGAUGGACUCGCGGCUUAUCAGCUUGUUGGUGGGGUAGUGGCUUACCAAGGCUUUGACGGGUAGCCGGCCUGAGAGGGUGACCGGCCACAUUGGGACUGAGAUACGGCCCAGACUCCUACGGGAGGCAGCAGUGGGGAAUAUUGCACAAUGGGCGGAAGCCUUAUGCAGCAACGCCGCGUGCGGGAUGACGGCCUUCGGGUUGUAAACCGCUUUCGCCUGUGACGAAGCGUGAGUGACGGUAAUGGGUAAAGAAGCACCGGCUAACUACGUG